GCAACAAGGUAGCUCAGCCGGUUGAGCAUGAGACUCUUAAUCUCAGGGUCAAUGGUUUGAGCCCCACGCUGGGCA